CGCCGUUAUACGGAAGGUGCGGGCGUUAUCCGGAUUCACUGGGUUUAAAGGGUGCGUAGGUAGAUCUGUAAGUCAAUGGUGAAAUCUGCGGGCUUAACUCGGAAACUGCCGUUGAUACUAUGUGUCUUGAAUGUAGUGGAUGUGAGCGGAAUGUGUCAUGUAGCGGUGAAAUGCUUAUAUAUGACAUAGAACACCGGUUGCGAAGGCAGCUCGCUACACUAUUACUGACGCUGAGGCACGGAAGCGUGGGGAUCGAACUCGAUUAGAUACCCUGGUAGUCCACGCCCUAAACGAUGGAUACUCGACAUCAGCGAUACACAGUUGGUGUCUGAGCGAAAGCAUUAAGUAUCCCACCUGGGAAGUACGACCGCAAGGUUG
rnacentral:rRNA from 1 species